GAUGAACGCUGGCGGCGUGCCUAAUACAUGCAAGUCGAGCGAACAGACGAGGAGCUUGCUCCUCUGACGUUAGCGGCGGACGGGUGAGUAACACGUGGAUAACCUACCUAUAAGACUGGGAUAACUUCGGGAAACCGGAGCUAAUACCGGAUAACAUAUUGAACCGCAUGGUUCAAUAGUGAAAGACGGUUUUGCUGUCACUUAUAGAUGGAUCCGCGUCGCAUUAGCUAGUUGGUAAGGUAACGGCUUACCAAGGCGACGAUGCGUAGCCGACCUGAGAGGGUGAUCGGCCACACUGGAACUGAGACACGGUCCAGACUCCUACGGGAGGCAGCAGUAGGGAAUCUUCCGCAAUGGGCGAAAGCCUGACGGAGCAACGCCGCGUGAGUGAAGAAGGUCUUCGGAUCGUAAAACUCUGUUAUUAGGGAAGAACAAAUGUGUAAGUAACUAUGCACGUCUUGACGGUACCUAAUCAGAAAGCCACGGCUAACUACGUG
rnacentral:rRNA from 1 species